rnacentral:misc_RNA from 1 species
GAUGAAGAACGCAGCGAAAUGCGAUAAGUAGUGUGAAUUGCAGAAUUCCGUGAAUCAUCGAAUCUUUGAACGCACAUUGCGCCUUCUGGUAUUCCGGAAGGCAUGCCUGUUCGAGAGUCAUUAACAACCGUUUCGAUCCCGUUCUUUCAGAAAUUACAAAGAGGAAAAGGGUUUGGUUAUGGUGGAGGAGGGAAAGGGAGCGUUUAGCCUGUAAAAAAAGAGGCUGUGUUCCGCCUCCCCCCCAAAAUUGUACAGGCGGUCGUGUGCGCCCACGCAUCGAGGUGUUGUAAAAGCUGCCACGGCACUUUUCACCUGUGCAGUGCGAGAUUGGCCAGCCGGUUUAAAAACCCCUCCAAACAAUCAAAGGUUGACCUCGGAUCAGGUAGGGAUACCCGCUGAACUUAAGCAUAUCAAUAAGCGGAGGA